ACGGCGGUGGCUACGUCACACGUGUGCGACAGCACCUGCUCCGGACGUCAGGCUCUCUAAGGACGACGUGGUUCUUCCUUGUGAGGUUGAGGCGCCCGAGAGGCGAUCAGAGCUCAGAGCCGAUUCAUUCCUGCUUGACUUUGGGUCGGUGCCUCGUGAGCGAGCUCAUUUCCCGGGGUUGCGGGUCCUUGCCUGGGGACACGCGAGUUGGAGAGCGCGUGCACCGGUCGUUCCCUUCCCGUGCUGCCCGCGUCCGGAUCGUCGGGACCCGGUUGUCUCUAGUAUGUGGAAAGGCUCGGGCUGGGAACUUCGAGGGAGGAGUUACCCCCUCGAGAUCCGGAGGACCAGAGCGGAGAGCAGGGCCACUGAGACCCUACAGGAUAUGACUCCGAGGAUCGCGUGCUGGACACGAGUGGCUACCGAGCCCGGAGAGCUUCGCGCUGCCUCCUCCUGGUCCCUUUCCAGAGGACUCUUUUCAGUCGGGGAUGCUUAUUAAAGCUCUGGCGGGAAAGAGAGAAUCACAAUUAAAGAAAUUAGUCCUACUCUGCAACGUCGGACACUUUAAUAGUAACUGGGGAGCGAUUGCGUUCAGGGAGAUCGAGGACAAGUAUCCUGGCCAGAUCCUGACAUGUUUUCCCGGUUGGAAAAUUGAGAGUGUAAUGUUAACAGUAAAGUUUAACCUUUUAAGCUGGUGGAGGAAGUUCAGACCACACCUGAACUGGUACCUGAGAUGACAGCACUGAAUCUGAAGACAAAGAAGGAUCAAAUUAGAACUGACUAUUAUUAGUCACUACUUCAGAAAGUCUUUUUACCUUAUUUUGGUAUGUUUAGUUAUUACUAUGAUUUGUAUGACUUUUACAUGUGUUUGAAAAGUAACAGAAGCUAAAGGCCAUUGUACAACUGGGUAACAGUCCCGUUUUCGUUCUCUUGCAUUUGGUUUGCCAUUCUGUAGCUGUGACUCCAGCUUGCUUUAGUUGAGCCUUGUCAUUCUUCACUCUCUGCAAACCAUUCCACGGAUUUGUUUUUCUUCACAAAAUUAGUUUCAUUUUCUUUGUUUGAUUGAUGGUCAUUGGCUACUGAAAUAAAAUAUGCAUUUUAAGGUAAAUUGUAUGUAUUUUUUAAGAUAAAACUUUGUGUAUUUUAAAAUACUUUUUUACUGUUCU
rnacentral:lncRNA from 1 species